CUCGAACCUGUUCCCUGAGACCUCUGCUGUGACAGAAUACAGUGUCACAGUAAGAGACCUCAGGGUCCAGGUCGAG
rfam:Syphacia muris strain Valencia genome assembly, scaffold: SMTV_scaffold0000574